rnacentral:lncRNA from 1 species
UUGUAAUUCUCACGAUCUCUCUAUAUUUUACUCUUUCUUUCUCAUUUGUGUUCACUUGUUCUAGAGAGAAAACAAGAACACAUUUACUUUAAUCUUCUACAUUGAUAAUUGCUUGGAUACUUUUCUUACAAGACACACACACAUACAUAUAGUGGUUUUUUCUCCACUUGCUACACUACACUCACUUAGACUCGAGACCAUACUUCUAGUCAUCAUUGCCCUAAGACUAGAACCAAGCUUACAAGCAAAGAACUACUAAACCUUACACAACAACAACUCCACUCUACUCUAGCUAAAAUCAUAAGCAAACUCCAACAACUAUUAGUUGGACAAGCUAACAACAACACUAACACAUGUUUGGGCCUAACUAAACAAUUAGCCCAAUCCCUUUUAUUAUUACAAAACAACAAGUCCAACUUCUUCUACCUUGUUGACUUGUUCUAUUGUUGUCGUUGACCUCUUUCACGACAACUUCUCUUCUUCGCUAGCUUCUUCUCUUUGCUCUGUUCUUCUUCUUCUUCUCACUAAAGCUUUCUCCUUUGUUGCAGGUUUAAUCAAGAACUCAAUCUCAACACUCCCUCUUGAGUUCUUCGAUUAAAUCCCCAAUUUCAAUUUUAGGGCUUUUUUUUUUUUUUUUUGAAUCUAAUGUUAAAUUAUAUUCAAAAGAAAAAAUAAACGGUUUUACAACUUGUGCAACGGUUUGCUUAAAGAGAAAAGUUGAGUGAACAGAAAUUUUAAAAAAAAAAAACCCUUAAGGUUUAGCUUUGAUCCAAGUUUGGUAGGCUGCUUCGAAUCGCAUGUCACCUUUGAUGCGAAUCGCCGAGAUCCGAUUCCUUACUUGCUUAUCAAUCCAUGCAAUUAGGCAUUCUUCCGAGUGCGGGCUCUCCCCAUGUCGUCUCCCAUUCCUUUCCUUCCAUAUCAUGUAGACAGCGACUUGAAGAACGUAUCGAAUAAGGAAUCCUUCUACGCGUUCAAGUCGUUGGUUUGAAAUGUAGUCGAGAAUGAGUGACCAGUCUGUUGUGUACCUUGCUUUUAGAAGCCCCUUUGCUAGGGCUGCCCAGAUUUUUGAACCGUACUGACAUGAGAAAUAAAGGUGAUCUCGAGUCUCCAAAUGGUGCUGACAGAGGAUGCAAUUUCCCGGAGCUCCGUGGUUCCAUUUAAUCAUACGAUCCCCCGUUGAAAGUCUAUUGUGGGCUGCCAACCACAUGCAGAAUGAAUAUUUUGGUGUUGCGUGUGCAAACCAAACUCCUCGAUGCCACGAGACUGUGGUGGCUGUUGUUCGAAUAUGGUUCCAAGUAUCCUUUGUUGAGAACUUUGGCCUGAAUGUGUCCCUUUUUCCCCUCCAAAGAAAUCGAUCCUCAUUUCCAUUCCUUUGUUGACGUUGCAGGUGCAAUUCAUCUUCAAUGAUGUUUAAAAGGCAUGUGCGGUGUCUACGCCGUCUAUGGUUUGUCCAAACAUUCGCCAGAGAGCUUUUCUUGCUUAUUCCCAUGUCGAUAAAGCCCCGAGAUCCUACAUUUUCCAGUAGACUGCCCAUUGAUGACCAAUUAUCAUACCAGAAAAAAGUUUUCUCCCCAUUACAUACUUCUACUCGACAAAAAGGUUUUGCCAUAGUUCUGUAUUUGAGAAGCUUUCUCCAUAUCCAUGAACCCACUAUGGUACCAUUGGUAAGCGACCAUAGAGAAUCCUGCUUGAGUAUGAAUGUCUGAAUCCAGUUAACCCAUAGAGAAUUGCUGUGCGAGACUAUACGCCAGAUGAGCUUUAAACAACAAACGGUGUAAGCCUCUUUGAGUGAUCGCAGUCCCAAACCACCUUCCUGUUUUGGCCUGCAAACUUGUUCCCAUGAAAUCUUAGCUUUAUGUGAAUUUAGAUCAGUUCCCGACCAAAGAAAAGCAGAACAGAGUUUUUCAACUUCCCGGAUACAUGCGUUUGGUAGUCGAUAGGCUGCUAACCAAAAAUUGCAGAUGCUCCAUAGGAUUGAGGAGAUUAGAUUCAGUCGUCCUGCAAAAGAGAGGAAACGUGAGGUCCACGACUCUAUUCUCUUCCGGAUUUGUUCAACUAAUGGUCUAUAAUCUGCAGCUGAAAGCCUCUUCGUGACUAAUGGAAGUCCAAGAUAACGGACCGGGAGAUGACCUAUUUCAAAAGGGAAGCGUGAUGCAAUCUGACCAGUAGGUGCAACCGUGCUGCCUGCCAAGUAAAGAGUAGACUUUUCCAUACUUAUUUUCAAUCCCGAGCAUUUAGCGAAGUCACCAAAAACCUUAACGAUGCCUUCAACAGAGCGAACCUGUCCAUCCGAUAAAACCAUAAGAUCAUCCGCAAAACUCAAGUGAGUGAGGCCCAACUUUUUACACCGUGGGUGGUAUCCAAAUUUUUUUUCUUCUGCGGCUCUAUCAAGCAGUUUUGAAAGCACAUCCAUACUGAUUACAAAUAGGUAUGGUGAAAGCGAACAGCCUUGUCUUAAACCUCGAGAACUUCUAAAAUAUCCUGCUAAUUCUCCAUUAACUUGAACCGAGAAAGAAGCCGUAGAAACACAAAGCAUAAUCCAAUGAAUAAACGUUGGCGGGAAGUUUAGAGCUGAGAGGACCUUACUCAAAAAUGACCAUUGAACAGAAUCAAAGGCUUUUGAAAUGUCGAUCUUUAUGGCACAACGAGAAGAAAUGGAGUCCAUUAUGGUAGUCUUUGACCAGUUCUGUGGCAAGAAGCACAUUUUCAAUCAAAAGGCGGUCUUGGACAAAUGCCGAUUGGUUCGCAGCAAUAAACCGUGGUAGAACAACCUUGAGCCGGUUUGCAAUGAUUUUGGAGAUCACUUUGUAUAGUACAUUACAGCAAGAAAUAGGCCUAAAAUCCUUCAUCUCCUUAGCACCUUUCUUUUUAGGAAUGAGUGCUAGAAUGGUAGAAUUAAUUCCCUUUGGUAAGAAUCCUUUUGCAAAAAAAGAUUGGACCGCCAAGAUAAAUUCUGUACCGAUCAGCUCCCAAGCUGCUUUAUAAAAUUCCGAGGUAUAACCGUCCGGGCCAGGAGAUUUGUCAUUCGGCAUUGAGAACAAAACCUUCUUGAUUUCUUCCCCUGAUAUAAUACGGGUGAGGUUUUGGUGAUCCAAAUCAGAACAGCGGAAAUGCAAUAGAUGUUGAAGCUCCUCAACAGUUGUUCCUUCAAAAUCGUGUGGGACGUGUUGCAAGAAUUCCCGAAAAUGAUUUUCAGCCUCAGCUUUUAUGUCGUCUUCAAGUAUAAGGACCCGACCAUCCGGACAUAGAACUUCCUUUAUACUGUUUGUUGCUUCCCAUAUGACAGCUGCUCUAUGAAACAUUUUGUUGUUCUGGUCACCCACAUUUAGCCAAUGUAGCUUAGAUUUCUGCUUGAGAUACUUCUCUUCAAGUCCUGCCACUAGUUCCCAUCUUUUGUAAGCCUCAUUUUCUUCUUCCAUCAAAAUGGUGCUUGGAUUCAUCAAGUUUGCUUGCUGCUUUUGACAGAGAAUGUCAUAUGCCUCCUUUGCCUUUUUUACCAAAUCUCCGACCCGUUCUUUUGCAAGAAUCCGCAGCUUCGGUUUGAGUCCUUUUAGUUUCUUGGAAAACCGAAACAGAGUUGAUGUAGACAAAAAAAGUUCUUCGGACUCUUUCCAAUGAUUCUCCACCAUUGGUAAAAAUUCGGGCAUCUCUGUGAGUACAUUUACGAAUUUGAAUGGUUUUCGGCGGCGAGUAACCCUACUUACUUCCCCGAUUUGCAUUAUCCGACCCCGUAAAUGAUCCGAGCAACCUCCUGCUUCGAAUACAUUAUACGCUUGCGGAAAUGCUCUUAACCAUGCAUCAUUCAUUAAUACUCUAUCCAAUUUCUUCAAAAUUAGAUCAUUUUCUCGCUUGUUACACCAAGUGUACAAAGGGCCAUGAGAUGCCAUAUCGGAUAUUGAGCAAUAAUUCACCAACGCCUGAAAGUCCCUCAUCCCCAAUGUGACCAGCGGGUUAUUAUCCACUUUAGAAUGUUCUGCCAUGUCUAGUGUCACGUUAAAAUCACCAAUAAUUAACCAAGGCUUAUGGUGAAUAAUAGGUGAAUCUGCAUAAUCUCUUAGUUCCUGCCAUAAUACUCUUCUUUCCUCAACUUGAUUCGAAGCAUACACAAAUGAGGCGAAGAACUCCUCCUCUUGGUUCUCCAACUUCACCGAACAAGUAAUUACUUGAUCACUCUUAUAAAAAGGACUUAGUCUCACAUUAUGCUGCCAUAAUACCCAUAUGCGACCUCUUGCAUUAUACUCAUAGUUUGUUAAAAUGGACCAGUCUCGAAAUAAAUGGUGCCCCAACCUCUGCGCCUUCCCCUCCCUAACUCUCGUUUCCAACAAGCAACCAAACUGAAAAUUAUUACCAUCAACCCACUUUUUUAUUACGGAAUGUUUUGAAGUUUUGUUGAGGCCACGAACAUUCCAUAAGAAACCCGACAUUUAAGAGUGCUUGGGGGGAAUCCUCUUACUCUGAUCUCUAGAGGAGUCUCUAGUCGAUGGAGCUUGAAGGUGAGAUAGUGUUUUAUGGGCUGUUUUCGAUUCCCUCGGCAAAGAUGGUCGCAAAGAUCCCUCCUUUUGAGAACGACUCUUUGCAGCUGCACCUUGUUUUUGAGUAGACACAUUGACUAUAUUCGCUGAAGUUAUGGGAUUAGUCACAGAAUUCUUUCCCACAAGGUCCUCUGUUUUGUCUAUCUCUGUUUCUUCUCCUUCCAGAUCCAAAACAGAGUAUGUAUUGGUUAGGAGAGAGACUUCCCCAAAUCGUAAUCCAUCCUUUUUCUUUCCCGGGCUGCUUCUUCCUCCCGACUUUGGAGUGACCCACCCUUCAGUCUCCUCCACAAUCUUCUCUACAGCUACCGCCUUGUUUUUUUUCUCCUCAGUAGCACAGUCUAUUAUAGUCGUAACUGUUUCAGUUUCCGGUAUAAUAGGGCUAGCAUUGGUCUCCUUCUUCUUCUUCUUCGAUAGAUCGCCUCUCUUCUCUUCUUCGGCGAGCAUCUCCUUCUUGCUUCUAUUCCUUUUAUUCGAGCUUCUUUCUCUAUCGUGGUGCAAAGCUUCUCCAACGACAGCUAGAGGUCACAACUCUCAUCGAUCACCAGUCACCGUCACGAUGAAAGUCUCUGCCGCCGUCUUCAACCACCACUUUGGUAAGUUGGCUCUUCUUAUCCCUCUUAAGCUGGAUCCCCAUGGAUCCAGUUUCUUUACUUUGCGAAUUUUUUUGUCAUCUUUUUGACAGAUUUUCUUCGCUCUCUUCCUCUGAUUUCCUUUACCGUGAGCUCCGUCACGUCUCUUGCUCGGCUGACAUUGCAACCGGCUGCUCCCUUUCUCUUUAGGUGAGCAUCUUUUCUCUCUUGCUUGGUGUCACUGUGAUCACCAGCCUCUUUCUUCUCCUUUUUUUUUUUUUUUUUUUUUCGAUUCUCAGAACCAUCACCUUUGGCUUUAGCUUUAGGACACUUUUUCUCUGACUUGAACCACCACCUCGGCUUUCACUACCGUAGUAUGGUUGGCUUCUCCUCAAGUCAUCACCUUAGCUUUAGCAUUGGUCGUUUGGUUCCUCAAAUCUGCACCUCGGUUUUUUCUCUAACCUUAGCAUGUUAGGCUCUUGAAUCAUCAACCUCCGCUUUCUCGGACUUGGUUUGUUUGAUCCUUCACCUCCACUUUGGUCAUUCUAACCUUGGCUUCUCUUUCUCCUUCUCGUUUCAGCUUAGGAACCCCUUCGGAUUCUCAGCCUCAACAAGCAUCUUCAAGCUUCACCAAUACAAUAUCGAAGAAGGAUUGAAUUCAUCACCUUUCACAACACCAUCUCCACACCGUUGUCUUCAUUGCUUCUUCCAGAAGAUCUCCUUGUCUCCUUGGAUGCACCUGAAGCCCUCCUUCUCUAAGGUACGGUGUGAAAUAGUUUGUGUAGGUUGGUGGUGCCCUUGUCACCACAUCUCUUUCCUUCUCUUCUUCUCCGACAUAGUCUCUCUGGUUUUGCUCUCCUUUUCUCUUCUUUCUUUUUUUUUUCUCCUUCAGCAGCAUCUCGGGCUGCAUCAUCUCUUCCUCUUCUUACAGCCUUUUGUGCUGUGUCUUACACCCUUCUUCUUUUCUUCAGUCUCUGUCUUAGACUGACAUCUUCUCCCUCUCGGCCUCACCUUUCUCACGAUCUCUCUAUAUUUUACUCUUUCUUUCUCAUUUGUGUUCACUUGUUCUAGAGAGAAAACAAGAACACAUUUACUUUAAUCUUCUACAUUGAUAAUUGCUUAGAUACUUUUCUUACAAGACACACACACAUACAUAUAGUGGUUUUUUCUCCACUUGCUACAUUACACUCACUUAGACUCGAGACCAUACUUCUAGUCAUCAUUACCCUAAGACUAGAACCAAGCUUACAAGCAAAGAACUACUAAACCUUACACAACAACAACUCCACUCUACUCUAGCUAAAAUCAUAAGCAAACUCCAACAACUAUUAGUUGGACAAGCUAACAACAACACUAACACAUGUUUGGGCCUAACUAAACAAUUAGCCCAAUCCCUUUUAUUAUUACAAAACAACAAGUCCAACUUCUUCUACCUUGUUGACUUGUUCUAUUGUUGUCGUUGACCUCUUUCACGACAACUUCUCUUCUUCGCUAGCUUCUUCUCUUUGCUCUGUUCUUCUUCUUCUUCUCACUAAAGCUUUCUCCUUUGUUGCAG